rnacentral:rRNA from 1 species
CGUGUAGGCGGCCAGGCAGGUCCGUUGUGAAAACUGGAGGCUCAACCUCCAGACGUCGAUGGAAACCGCUUGGCUAGAGUCCGGAAGAGGAGAGUGGAAUUCCUGGUGUAGCGGUGAAAUGCGCAGAUAUCAGGAAGAACACCGAUGGCGAAGGCAGCUCUCUGGGACGGUACUGACGCUGAGCGCGAAGCGUGGGAGCGAACA